GAUAAUGUGGCUGAGGUUUAUAGGCGAUAGACUGUAAAUCUAUAUACGGAGUUAAAUCCUUUUAUCA
rnacentral:tRNA from 1 species